AAAUAGACUAAUCACUUGAAAAAUGGCAAAUUUUUAUACAACCCAAUGUGCUACUAUUUUUUGAAAAUGUUUGAUGCCACAGGGCUCGGGCACGUUUAUGGAUAAUUUCAACUACAUAUUUAAGACAAAUUUGGAACAAUUUAACCUGAGUGUGAAAAACAAAGAAAAUUUCAUGAAAGGAAAAAUACCUUUUUUUAUACUAUGUACGAAAAUUUCAAUCGGCAGAACUGUCAUUUUUCUCUUAUUUUACUUCGUGAAUCAGGUAGGUACUUACCUACGUAGCCAAGAGUAUUUUACUGGUGAAAAUUUCUGUGUAAUUUUUUUCUCAUGCUGAUCAAUACAUUUUUAGUCACCCUCCCCCCUCAUAGAUAGUUCUCUUUGGUCUUGACUAUCUUCCCUCAUGUGCUUUAAUUAAAAUUGAAAUCACCUACCCAUAUAAAAAUUGGACUAUACAAUAUGGUGAGUAUAAAACACAAAAGUUAGUACGAGGUAAAAAAGUAUUCUCUGCCUUUACUGCAAUAAAUGUUAGGCAUGUGAUAAUAAUUUAUCUGGCAGGGGUCCUUCAUUUUUUUUGAUAGUGAGAAACGCUCUAACUAUUUUUAAUCGGUUGAUGCACCGUAUCACAAUAUUCUCUGGUUCAGUAAAUUUGAUAAGCUAAUUAACACUUUGUUUAAUACAUAUCGUAUUUAUAUUAGAGUGGAUAUGGUGUGAAAAAUAAUCUUCUGUUGAAUUAGGUAGUAACGAUGAGUUUAAAAAUUGCAUUUAGUAUGAUUUGGGUUUGUAUUUAUCCAUGUAUUAUUUGCUUACGUUUUUGAACGUGUUUUUCGUGAUGUGUUAAUGCGAACAAUUUCAUUUUCUACAGAUCAGAUCAAUUCAGCUGUUGAAAAGCAACUUCACUCGAAACUGGAAUGAAAUGAUGCCAAGAACCAAAUUCUGGAGCAGUACUUUACACGUCCUGUUGAUUCUUCUAUGUGACUUGAAUAACCUAAUACCAGUCAAUGGUCAAGAUGAACUGGAAAUGCUGGAAUUUUCAACCGAAUUUUCAGAAUUUGAUUCGACACUUGCUCCAGAAACAUUAUACUGCCAGUAUUUCAAACAUGAUGGCAGCGUAUGCCCAAAUCGAGAAUUCCUUUCCAAAAGAAACAACUUCAACUAUACAGAAAAUGGUGACUUAAUUUACGAGUACGAAAACAAAACCAGAAGUAUUUUCAAAUCAGGUACAUUUACCAACGAAA